AUCGCUUCUCGGCCUUUUGGCUAAGAUCAAAGUGUAGUAUCUGUUCUUAUCAGCUUAAUAUCUGAUACGCCCCGCAUGCGGGGCCAGUAUAUUAAACUGAUUUUUGGAAAUUGAUGGAGAUUUUUAGGGGCUUGCUCCACCUCCAUCGCGGGUUGGCUCGGCAUUGCAGUACCGCUGGGAUCGGCCCAUUUUAU